rnacentral:rRNA from 1 species
GUGGGGAAUUUUGGACAAUGGGCGCAAGCCUGAUCCAGCAAUGCCGCGUGCAGGAAGAAGGCCUUCGGGUUGUAAACUGCUUUUGUACGGAACGAAACGGUCCUGGCUAAUACCCGGGGCUAAUGACGGUACCGUAAGAAUAAGCACCGGCUAACUACGUGCCAGCAGCCGCGGUAAUACGUAGGGUGCGAGCGUUAAUCGGAAUUACUGGGCGUAAAGCGUGCGCAGGCGGUGCUGUAAGACAGGCGUGAAAUCCCCGGGCUCAACCUGGGAAUUGCGCUUGUGACUGCAGUGCUGGAGUGCGGCAGAGGGGGAUGGAAUUCCGCGUGUAGCAGUGAAAUGCGUAGAUAUGCGGAGGAACACCGAUGGCGAAGGCAAUCCCCUGGGCCUGCACUGACGCUCAUGCACGAAAGCGUGGGGAGCAAACAGGAUUAGAUACCCCGGUAGUCC